CCCCAACCCUCAUAGCCUGCCCUACAACCAGCUCCCAUAACAACCUCACACCCCACACCACCCGCACCCGCAUAUAACGCAGACCCAUACACUCCACCCCACAACCAUCUCCAACCCCACAACUACCUACAACCCCAGCCCUACAACCCCCAGCCCCCAACCCCCCGCCACCCAUAACCAGCCCCACAACUGCGCCCCAUCCAUGGCCACAUCGUUCUGCCCCACAACCACCUCCAGCCGCAUAUCACCAGCCCCAUCAACCACCACCUGGCCCCAUAACAACCUCAACCCACAACCAGCCCCAACCACCACCCACCCCAAAUACCAUCUGCCCACAACACAAGCCCCAACAACUGACCCCCAUCCCAUCCAAUGUCUGACCCCAUAACCAACCCCAUAACCACCCCCAGCCCCACAACCAGCCCCAACAACCUGACGCCCAUAACCAGCCCACAACCCCCCCAGCCCCAUAACCCCCCAGCCCCACAACAGCCCCCAACCCCCCAGCCCCAUUACAUUCAAUCCUAUACGACGGCUCCUCACUCCGUUACCUGGACCAACGUUCCCUCCCAUCCCGUGUCCGUUACCUUCCCGUCCCCGACGUCCCCCUCGGCCUACGGCCGCCCAUCGUUUCUAUGGGGGUCCGUGGGGCCCCCAACAUCCGCGGUGCUGGGGGGCCUGGCCGUGGCCAUGGAGCUCAGGGGGGGCGGGGACCCCCAAUGGUGGAUCUAUUGGGAUUUAAUGGGGGUUUUUAAAUGAGAGGAUGAGAUGUGACCAGAGCCAGACCACGGCCGUCCAAUGUGGGGAGGGAGGCGGAAAGGAUCAAGGAGAGAGGACGAUGGGGGAAACGGAAGCCGGGAUUGACGGACAAGGAGCGAGGGAAAGGUAUGGGGGAUAUAUGGGGGGAUAUGGGGGGAUAGGGGUUAUAUAUGGAUAUCAUGGGUUCUAUGGCGGUUAUAUGGGGGGAUUGGGGUUAUAUGGGGUGAUAGGGGGGGAUCGGGGCUAUGGGGUUAUAUGGGGGGAUAUGGGGGUGGGUAUGGGGGGGGUAAUGGGUGGGUAAUGGGGGAUAUGGGGUGAUUAUGGGGUAUGGGUGGGUAUGGGGUGAUAUGGGUGGGUAUGGGGGGAUAUGGGUUAUAUGGGGGGAUAUGGUGAUUAUGGGGGGAUUGGGUUAUAUGGGGGGACUGGGGUUAUCAUGGGGGAUAAUGGGGUGGGUAUGGGGUUUCUAUGGGGUAUAAUGGGGUGGUAUGGGGUAUAUGGGAAUAUAUGGGGAUAUAGGGUUAUAUAGGGGGGCUAUAGGGUUAUAUGGGGGGGCUAUAGGGUUAUAUGGGGGGAUAUGGGGGUUUCUAUGGGGUUAUAAUGGGGGAUAUGGGGUUAUAUGGGGGGAUAUGGGGUUCUAUGGGGGGUUUAUGGGUGAUAUGGGGUUAUAUGGGGGGAUAUGGGGUGAUAUGGGCGUUAUAUGGGGGGAUAAAUGGGGGGAUAUGGGGGGAUAGGAUCAAAGGGAUGAUGAGGAGAUGGGGGGAAACUGAGCCGGGAUUGACGGACAAGGAGCUGAGGGAAAGGUAUGGGGGGAUAUAUGGGAUUAUAUGGGGGGAUAUGGGGUUAUAUGGGGUGAUAUGGGGGGAUAUGGGGUUAUGGGGGGGAUAUGGGGUGAUAUGGGGUUAUAUGGGGUAAUAUGGGGGGAUUAUAGGGUUAUGGGGUUAUAUAUGGGGUUAUAUGGGGGGAUAUGGGGGUUAUAUAUGGGGUUAUAUGGGAUUAUAUG
rnacentral:lncRNA from 1 species